CUAUUUUAGUCUGUGAUUCAUCUUGCAUUGUUAAUUCUAUCAAAUUACUUAUGUAUGCAAAAUUUUGAUAUAAAUGCCUUAAUGCAAUAACAAACCUUAAGACAGAAAAUCAUAAAGGAAAAAUACUUUUACUCCUAUUGACAAAAGAUUAUCACUAUUUUAAUCAUAGUACUCCCAAUAUCAUAUGUAUUUAUACAUCAAAUUAUAUGUAUUUUCCAAAAAUAUUUUUGCAUAUUACUUUUUAGUCUGCUCUAUUUAUUUAGUAAAAUAACAUGGACAUUUCUUCAUAACUAUAAAUAUUUAGUUAUGGCUUCUUUAUCAAUUAGGUUUAGAAAUUAGCUUAAUAACCACAUUCUAACCUGAUGUUCAUCCAGUUGUUUUUGAAAGAUAAUCUAUUUCUUUGUUGGAUGCACACCUACUGUUUCUUCUUUGGAACUGGAAUAAAGAGAAAUAACUUCACAAUAUGUCCUUCAAGGACAUCUGACACAUGGUACCUGAUGCACCCACAAGCCUUCCUCAUUGUGCACCCACUGCCUAAAUGACAGGCACCAUGUAAGCAAAGCCCUCAUCAGAUUCUAUUUCCUGGGACAGGAUCCAGAAUGCUUGGACUGUGCCCAGAAUCAGAGAAAGAUAUUUCAGGUUUCAAACAAGUUAGAGUGUUAGGGCUCUGUUCUUGUUGGGGCUGAGAUCCAGCAGCAAUAGCCAGGAGUAGAGAGCAAAAGAUAAGCUAAUCUGAUUGAGCCAGAGUUUGCUUUAAAAAAUCUAAUGCUUUAAUUUCUUGAAGACUACUAUCAUCUGAAUGUUUGUGUCCCCAUCCCCCAGAUUAUAUGUUGAAAUCUCAAUGUCCAAGGAGAUGGUAUUAGAAAAAUAGGUGUUGCAAGGUGAUUGGAUUAUGAAGAUGGGACCCUCAUGAAUCAGAGCAGUGAUCUCAUAAGAGACCCUUACCCCAUCCACCAUGUGAGGACCCAGCAAGAAGAUACACUCGGUGAAGGGGAAACGGAGGAAGCUGAUCUUCACCAGACAAGGAAUCUGCAGGCACCUUCACCUUGGACUUCCCAGAUUGUGAAAACUGAGUUUCUACCCAGCGAUGGUACUUUGUUGUAGCAGCCCAAAUGAACUGAGACAAUCUCACUGCAAGAAAUGGCUACACUGCUGUGAAUUAUGCUAGCAGCACAUGCAAAUUCUGCUUCAGAGCUCUGGACUCCUUUUCGUGUCUGUUCCCUCCCUUACCCCUGCCCAAAUUCCAAAUGUGGUCAGGCUGCCCCAGAAUGUGCAGACACAAAUGAGGCAUAAGCCAUUUGGUCCAUUCAUUCCUACAAAACAUUAUUGAAAUACAUGUGGGCUUUCCCAAGUACAUUUUAAACCUAUGCUUAAUCAUCAUACUGUUGAAUCAUUCCAGUUCUCCAUUUUACUCCUCAGUCUCCUGAGAUUUUUUUUAUUGCUAGCCUCAGGCACAGUGCCUGACUCACAGUAGCACACUGAGAAAUGUUUGUUGGAACUAAUGAUUAAAUGAAUGAAAAUGAAUAUAUUUUUUUUAAAUCAUGAAUUUCUAGUGCUGCAAUGGCAGACUUUUCUGGUUCAAGGUUUUGUUCCUGAAAUCUUUCAAAUCCCAUGUGACAUUUCACUCAUCUUUAAAAGAUUAGACUUGAGUAGGCAGCAUAGACAUUUGCAAUGUCACAAGAUUGGUAAACUAAUUCAAGUUUAUAGUCCAAGGUGCUGCUGAAGGCUUAGGAAAUCAACUUUAUUCUGAUAUUUUUAAAAUGUAGGAGAUAAAUAAAUUCUAAGGCCAUUUUACUGCCACUGUGUGGCUCAGGUUCACCUAGGCAAGAUGAAAUCAUUAAGUGUGUUUUUAUCUACCAAACAAGGCCUGUCAAGGCUUAAGAAAACAGAACGAGCUCCAGGUCUACAACUUGGACAAAGCAGUAUGCAACAAUCAUAUUACAUACCACCUUCACUGGUUAAUCCUUUCUCCAAAUUCUGGUUGCAAUGGCUUAGAAUUAUACAGUUAUUUAGAUGGGCAUGGAGCUACUCAAAUUAGUCCACACCCUCUUUCAUUUCCACCCAUUGAUGUAUUAUGCCUGGCACUUAACAUUUGGACAGUAUCUAAUCCUUUCUACUGAUACCAAUUUAAGUAACCAGGAUUAUGUCUUAUUCAGUAUUGUUUCACCUACUCUUAUAAAAGUACCUAGCAUAUAAGAUUAAUUAAAUAAUUUCCUUUUCUAAAUGCUGGGCAGCCUGUGAUUCAUAGUGGGAUUUGGAGGCAGCAUGGGAGGAUUAGACAAACUCUACAUAAGGCAAAGGGGUGGGAGGAGAAAUGAAGGGGCAUGGGGGUAAAAAAGACGGUGGAAUGAGAUGGACAUCAUUACCCUAAGUACAUGUAUGAAGACACAAAUUGUGUGAAUAUAUUUCGUAUACAAUCAGAGAUAUGAAAAAUUGAAAAAAAUAUGAAAAAAUGCUCUAUAUGUGUAAUAUGAAUUGUAAUGCAUUCUGCUGUCAACAAGAAAAUG
rnacentral:lncRNA from 1 species